UGAAUAUGUGAGAGGGGUUCGGGGGAUACCCCCCGAGAUUCUUGGGAUUUUCAUGAUCUAGUUAGGUGCUUUUUAAGUCCUGUGGGGGGUCACAAAUUGGAA